UACGAAGGGGGCUAGCGUUGCUCGGAAUCACUGGGCGUAAAGCGCACGUAGGCGGCUUUCUAAGUCAGGGGUGAAAUCCUGGAGCUCAACUCCAGAACUGCCUUUGAUACUGGAGAGCUUGAGUCCGGAAGAGGUGAGUGGAACUCCGAGUGUAGAGGUGAAAUUCGUAGAUAUUCGGAAGAACACCAGUGGCGAAGGCGGCUCACUGGUCCGGUACUGACGCUGAGGUGCGAAAGCGUGGGUAGCGAACAGG
rnacentral:rRNA from 1 species